rnacentral:rRNA from 1 species
UACAGAGGGUGCAAGCGUUAAUCGGAAUUACUGGGCGUAAAGGGCUCGUAGGUGGCCAACUAAGUCAGACGUGAAAUCCCUCGGCUUAACCGGGGAACUGCGUCUGAUACUGGAUGGCUCGAGUUCGGGAGAGGGAUGCGGAAUUCCAGGUGUAGCGGUGAAAUGCGUAGAUAUCUGGAGGAACACCGGUGGCGAAGGCGGCAUCCUGGACCGACACUGACACUGAGGAGCGAAAGCCAGGGGAGCAAACGGG